UACGGAGGAUGCGAGCGUUAUCCGGAUUUAUUGGGUUUAAAGGGUGCGUAGGCGGACGCUUAAGUCAGCGGUAAAAUUGCGGGGCUCAACCUCGUCGAGCCGUUGAAACUGGGUGCCUUGAGUGGGCGAGAAGUACGCGGAAUGCGUGGUGUAGCGGUGAAAUGCGUAGAUAUACGGAGGAACACCAGUGGCGAAGGCGGCCUGCUGGACAAUAACUGACGCUGAGGCGCGAAAGCGUGGGGAGCAAACAGG
rnacentral:rRNA from 1 species